GACCUUCGGGUCUAGUGGCGCACGGGUGCGUAACGCGUGGGAAUCUGCCCUUGGGUUCGGGAUAACAGUUGGAAACGACUGCUAAUACCGGAUGAUGUCUUCGGACCAAAGAUUUAUCGCCCAGGGAUGAGCCCGCGUCGGAUUAGCUUGUUGGUGAGGUAAAAGCUCACCAAGGCGACGAUCCGUAGCUGGUCUGAGAGGAUGAUCAGCCACACUGGGACUGAGACACGGCCCAGACUCCUACGGGAGGCAGCAGUGGGGAAUAUUGGACAAUGGGCGAAAGCCUGAUCCAGCAAUGCCGCGUGAGUGAUGAAGGCCUUAGGG
rnacentral:rRNA from 1 species